rnacentral:sRNA from 1 species
GCUGGGUGUAGUGGCGUGUGCCUGUAAUCUCAAGCAGUUUAGGAGGCUGAGGCAGGAGGAUCGAAAGUUCAAAGCCAGCCUCCGCAAUUUAGCAAGGCCUUAAACAAAUUAGUAAUAUCUUGUCUCAA